GGGUGAGUAAUGUAUCGGAACGUACCAUUCAGUGGGGGAUAACGUAGCGAAAGUUACGCUAAUACCGCAUAUUCUGUGCGCAGGAAAGCAGGGGAUCGCAAGACCUUGCGCUGAUUGAGCGGCCGAUAUCAGAUUAGCUAGUUGGUGAGGUAAAAGCUCACCAAGGCGACGAUCUGUAGCGGGUCUGAAGGAUGAUCCGCCACACUGGAACUGAGACACGGUCCAGACUCCUACGGGAGGCAGCAGUGGGGUAUUUUGGACAAUGGGGGCAACCCUGAUCCAGCCAUGCCGCGUGAGUGAAGAAGGCCUUCGGGUUGUAAAGCUCUUUCAGCCGGGAAGAAAAUGCAUGGGUUAAUACCCUGUGCAGAUGACGGUACCGGAAUAAGAAGCACCGGCUAACUACGUGCCAGCAGCCGCGGUAAUACGUAGGGUGCGAGCGUUAAUCGGAAUUACUGGGCGUAAAGCGUGCGCAGGCGGUUUUGUAAGACAGGCGUGAAAUCCCCGGGCUUAACCUGGGAACUGCGUUUGUGACAGCAAGGCUAGAGUACGGCAGAGGGGGGUGGAAUUCCACGUGUAGCAGUGAGAUGCGUAGAGAUGUGGAGGAACACCAAUGGCGAAGGCAGCCCCCUGGGUCGAUACUGACGCUCAUGCACGAAAGCGUGGGUAGCAAACAGGAUUAGAUACCCUGGUAGUCCACGCCCUAGACGAUGUCAACUAGGUGUUGGGAGGGUAAAACCUUUUAGUACCGUAGCUAACGCGAGAAGUUGACCGCCUGGGGAGUACGGCCGCAAGGUUAAAACUCAAAGGAAUUGACGGGGACCCGCACAAGCGGUGGAUGAUGUGGAUUAAUUCGAUGCAACGCGAAAAACCUUACCUACCCUUGACAUGUCAGGAACUUUCCAGAGAUGGAUUGGUGCCCGAAAGGGAACCUGAACACAGGUGCUGCAUGGCUGUCGUCAGCUCGUGUCGUGAGAUGUUGGGUUAAGUCCCGCAACGAGCGCAACCCUUGUCGUUAAUUGCCAUCAUUUAGUUGGGCACUUUAACGAGACUGCCGGUGACAAACCGGAGGAAGGUGGGGAUCACGUCAAGUCCUCAUGGCCCUUAUGGGUAGGGCUUCACACGUCAUACAAUGGUCGGUACAAAGGGUCGCCAGCCCGCGAGGGGGAGCCAAUCCCAUAAAGCCGAUCGUAGUCCGGAUUGUAGGCUGCAACUCGCCUGCAUGAAGUCGGAAUCGCUAGUAAUCGUGGAUCAGCAUGUCACGGUGAAUACGUUCCCGGGUCUUGUACACACCGCCCGUCACACCAUGGGAGCGGGUUCCGCCAGAAGUAGGUAGCCUAACCGCAAGGGGGGCGCUUACCACGGCGGGGUUCGUGACUGGGGUGAAGUCGUAACAAGGUA
rnacentral:rRNA from 1 species